rnacentral:lncRNA from 1 species
UGCUUACUGUCAAGAAGAGACCAUUGUAUACCAGUAGAAACUCUUGGUGGGUCUUCUGCAAGUUGCUUAACCUCUUGGGGCCUCAUUUUUCUGAUCUGCAAUGUGAAGGGAGUUGGACUUGAUAACCUAUAAAGUCCAUUCCUGCUCUAAAAUCUUAUGCUUUUCUGAAGUACUUUUAUUUAACAGAAUGCUUUGCUUUCCCACUUUGACUUUUAUUUGAAUUACAUUUGCAGUACAUAGACAUGCAACUGCAUGGUGUCAGAAUGGAUCUUGGAGAAUGCUUGAAAGUACAUGACCUGGCUUUAAGAGCAGAUUAUGAAAUUGCAUCCAAAGAACAAGACUUUUUCUUUGAACUUGAUGCCAUGGAUCAUCUACAGUCAUUCAUUGCAGAUUGUGAUAGAAGAACAGAAGUGUCUAAGAAAAGAUUAGCAGAAACUCAAGAAGAGAUAAGUGCUGAAGUGGCAGCAAAGGCAGAGCGUGUUCAUGAGUUAAAUGAGGAAAUAGGCAAGUUGUUGGCCAAAGUGGAACAACUGGGAGCUGAAGGAAAUGUGGAAGAAUCUCAGAAAGUCAUGGAUGAAGUAGAGAAAGCACGGGCAAAGAAAAGAGAAGCAGAG